GGUAAUUCCGUGCCGUGGGCGGCGGUAAAAGUGCGGGGGGAGGGGUUGUCCGGAGUUAGGGGGCGUAAAGGGCGCGUAGGCGGUUUGUUACGUCGGCUGGGAAAACCCGGGGCUGAGCCCUGGGCUUGCAGUGGAUACGGGCAGACUAGAGGCAGGUAGGGGAGAAUGGAAUUCCCGGUGUAGCGGUGAAAUGCGCAGAUAUCGGGAGGAACACCGGUGGCGAAGGCGGUUCUCUGGGCCUGACCUGACGCUGAGGAGCGAAAGCGUGGGGAGCGAACAGGAUUAGAUACCCCAGUAGUC
rnacentral:rRNA from 1 species